CUGGCGGCAUGCUUUACACAUGCAAGUCGAACGGCAGCACGAAAGAGCUUGCUCUUUUGGUGGCGAGUGGCGAACGGGUGAGUAAUACAUUGGAACGUACCGAGUAAUGGGGGAUAACUGUCCGAAAGGAUGGCUAAUACCGCAUACGCUCUGAGGAGGAAAGCGGGGGACCUUCGGGCCUCGCGUUAUUCGAGCGGCCAAUGUCUGAUUAGCUAGUUGGUGGGGUAAAGGCCUACCAAGGCGACGAUCAGUAGUGGGUCUGAGAGGAUGAUCCGCCACACUGGGACUGAGACACGGCCCAGACUCCUACGGGAGGCAGCAGUGGGGAAUUUUGGACAAUGGGCGAAAGCCUGAUCCAGCCAUGCCGCGUGUCUGAAGAAGGCCUUCGGGUUGUAAAGGACUUUUGUCAGGGAAGAAAGGGUUUGGGUUAAUACCCUGAGCUUAUGAC
rnacentral:rRNA from 1 species